AAAUGAUUAAAAAACAAAUCAUUUUAAAUACUUUUUAAUCAUUUUUUUUAAUCAGGGCUCUUGGCAAUCGGUUGAAUGAUUGAGGAGGUUUGAUGUUCUUCAUAAACUUAUUUAUUUCUGAACUGAAUUUUUUUAUAUUCCAAGCUCCUGGUUUAUUCAAUAACAAAUUGGUGUAUUGCUUAACAACUCCAAGAAGCACUGAGUGCAUAUAUUCAGGUAAAACAAAGGAUCCAAGAUCUAGUAAUGGUAGAGUUGAUAGUAUAGAAAUUGACUUUAUGUAGACACCAAUUAACUUAAGAUGGUAUUACUGAAAGAUAAUAUUUAUUGCAAAAAAACUGCUUUUGACGAUGCAAUGGAUUUUAGCAGAAAAUCUGCAACUUCAGUCUUACGACGUCUGGCGGAGGGCGUAUUUAAGCGUGAUGCGAUUUUAAAAUGUACUUUCAGCGGACGACCUCCUUCUGCUCAAGGCAAAGAUAAACAGGCAGAGCAAGUAGAUGCAUUAGACAGAACUGCAAGAACAGUAGUGAAAGAAUAUUGCGAAAAUUAUGCAAUUCGUCAAGGCUGGCCGCGCUCAAAGAAAAAUGAACUACGUGCUGCAAUGUCUCAAUGGCUUGGGGAAUUGAAAAGAGCAGAAAAAAAAAUGCUGAACUAAAUAAGUAACUCUAAUGAUCUUGUACAAAAGGUCACUUUUCUUUCAGCCUAUACAUUUUGUUAAUUUUUUUUUUUUGAUAUUUGUGACAUUACCUAAAGCAUAAUUACUUAUUUUCAAAAAUCUUUAAGGUCUUUACUAUGUAUAAGCAUUCUGAUUAUCAGUCAUUGAUUUAAGUGUUUAAUCUCCCAUUUGUUAUUGAUAAAAAAGUGCAAUAUUGGGAUAGAUAAGACUAUAGUUGCAUUAAUAAGUUUACUUGUAAGUUUAAUUAAAAAGCAAAAUAUUUUACGUCUAGUCUUUACCUUAUAAAUAAAAAUAUAUGAGUG